rnacentral:rRNA from 1 species
AUCAGAGGUCCCGCCUGCCCUGUGACCAUAGGUUUAACGGCCGCGGUAUUUUGACCGUGCAAAGGUAGCGCAAUCACUUGUCUCUUAAAUGGAGACCCGUAUGAAUGGCAUAACGAGGGCUUAACUGUCUCCCUUUUCAAGUCAAUGAAAUUGAUCCCCCCGUGCAGAAGCGGGGAUAACCUCACAAGACGAGAAGACCCUAUGAAGCUUUAGACAAAAAGUCAGAUCAUGCUACUACACCUAUCUUAAUAGAGCAAGCCAGAUGACCCCUGACCGAGUGUCUUUGGUUGGGGCGACCACGGGGGAAAAUUUAGCCCCCACGAGGAAUGGACCCAAACCCAUCCUAGAGCCAAGAGCCCCUGCUCGAGGCAACAGAACCCCUCUGACCUUCCAGAUCCGGCAAAGCCGAUUUACGGACCGAGUUACUCUAGGGAUAACAGCGCAAUCUCCUUUCAGAGACCCUAUCGACAAGGAGGUUUACGACCUCGAUGUUGGAUCAGGACAUCCUAAUGGUGCAGCCGCUAUUAAGGGUUUGUUUGUU